CAGUAGCCGCGGGAAUACGGAGGGGGCUAGCGUUGUUCGGAAUUACUGGGCGUAAAGCGCACGUAGGCGGCUUUGUAAGUUAGAGGUGAAAGCCUGGGGCUCAACUCCAGAAUUGCCUUUAAGACUGCAUCGCUUGAACGUCGGAGAGGUGAGUGGAAUUCCGAGUGUAGAGGUGAAAUUCGUAGAUACUCGGAAGAACACCAGUGGCGAAGGCGGCUCACUGGACGACUGUUGACGCUGAGGUGCGAAAGCGUGGGGGGCAAACAGGAUUAGAUACCCCAGUAGUCCCUGUCUCUUAUAA
rnacentral:rRNA from 1 species